UGUAAUUGUUAAGUUUUUUUUUUUUUAAAGAAGUUAACUGAGUGAAAUAGUGUUGGGUGUUCCAGCUGUGCAUUGUAACACAAUGGAGAAAACAGUUUCUCUUAAUCAAGGAGACAAUUAGCAACAGUCCGACUUCAGAAACCCAAAUUACCAAGCCACCGUGAGAGUAUUUAAAAAAUGACUUCUAAACUUAUGUUGGGGAGAUUUCUGGUAUGCAACAGGAAAUACUUUUAAAGAAAAAUCUAUCUGCAUUGGAUCUUGGUUGAGAUGAUGUUGCACUGAUUAUAUUUGACAAACCAGAGAAUCAGAAACUACUUUCUCGUGUAGAUUCAGGAAAUGAUUGUGCAACUGAAUUUAUAAACGCUAACCUUUUUCAAAAUAAAACUGUAAUAUCA